UCGCACACUGCGUGCCUUCUCAGUGUACAAGACCGGUGGAGAGCGCGCGAGAAAAAGAGAGAACGAAAGGGAGCGCACGAGAGAGAGAGAGAGAGAGAGAGAGAGAGAGAGAGAGAGAGAGAGAGAGAGAGAGAGAGACGCAGGAUAGACCUCCCUUUUCUCCUUUACUCCGAGACAGAGCUGCACAAUGUGAAGAGGCAAACUUCCCCCCAAUAGACGACUCACCCUCUCCGACAAAAACCAGGACAUUGAUACGCGCUCUUUUUGCUCGGUGACAUGAGGAGUCUAUUAUUCCGCACCAACCCCCGAGUCUCCGAGCCAGACGGAGCUCUCUGAAUCUUUCAGCAGGUCCGCAGAGGAACUUUGUUCAUGUUCAUUUUGUUGUUGUGAUUUGCGCCGGUAGCUCCAUCACACCGAGAGGAUGCACGGAUUUAUCUGCACGCGCUGAGGAUUUUUUAUUUAUUUAUUUAUUUAUUUAUUUUUGGUGACCCUUGACGGAUCCUUUAUAGCCGAUAGAACAGCCUGCCUCCUGCCAUGUCGUGGUUCCUGUGUUUGUGGAUAGCUGUUAGCUGCCUCGUGCUCUGCCAGGCUACUAUGUACGAGACCAUCCAGCAGCACCACGUGCCUCGACCGGGCCGCAACGCCAUCCAGAUCCUCGAGGGCGGGACGUGUGAGGUGAUCGCAGCUCAUCGGUGCUGCAAUAAGAACCGCAUCGAGGAACGCUCUCAGACGGUCAAGUGCUCGUGUCUGCCGGGAAAAGUGGCGGGAACGACACGCAACAAGCCCUCCUGCGUGGACGCCUCCAUCGUGAUUGGGAAGUGGUGGUGUGAGAUGGAGCCGUGUUUGGAAGGAGAGGAGUGCAAGACGCUGCCGGAUAACUCGGGCUGGAUGUGUUCCUCUGGGAACAAGAUCAAAACCACCAGGCUAAACUGAGCCGCGGCGAGUCCGGAUCAUUCUCAUCACACUUACCAGAACACACAGCCGUAUUCCCCUUUUUAGCUCGAGAGCAGCUGCAGGAGAACCUGCGGAGAUCCUUCAGCUCAAGAUUCAUCCUAGGACUUAACCCCACAGCUCCCAUGCAGCUGCGCUCGAGCAUCUCCUCUGUCCCAGCAGACUAAACCAUUCCAUCAGAGGGCAGUAUAAACAGAUUAGCUGUGUAAGGAGGACGUACGACAUGCUCACGCUGACCACGUGCCAAGGAGGGGCUUGUUUUUGGGGGAUUUUUUUUUUUUUUCCUUUCGACGAGAGGAUGAGCUGAUCCGGAUAUCUCCUUUUCUCAAAACGUCUGGGACUGAUCUCUGACAUGUCCCACCAUCUAUCUGUCUCUCGUUCUCUUUCUCAAAAACACACACACACACACACACACACACACACACACACACACACACACACA